rnacentral:sRNA from 1 species
UUAUAUUCUCCGCUGGGGGGGAUGAGAACCCCCGACCGGGGUUCGACAACUGGCAACGCCAGUUGGACAGACCGCGAGCCUGCGAGCGGGCUGCCCCGAAGGGGCGAGCGAAGCGAGUCAAUCCCCCCUCACCGCCA